UAUUCGUUACAAGGUAUGCCUUUACUUGCACGUCGUACCAAGGUAGCUUUAAGUCGUCUGACGAGUGCCUAACGGGUGAGUAAUACAUCGGAACGUGCCCAGUCGUGGGGGAUAACUACUCGAAAGAGUAGCUAAUACCGCAUACGAUCUGAGGAUGAAAGCGGGGGACCUUCGGGCCUCGCGCGAUUGGAGCGGCCGAUGGCAGAUUAGGUAGUUGGUGGGAUAAAAGCUUACCAAGCCGACGAUCUGUAGCUGGUCUGAGAGGACGACCAGCCACACUGGGACUGAGACACGGCCCAGACUCCUACGGGAGGCAGCAGUGGGGAAUUUUGGACAAUGGGCGAAAGCCUGAUCCAGCAAUGCCGCGUGCAGGAUGAAGGCCUUCGGGUUGUAAACUGCUUUUGUACGGAACGAAAAAGCUCCUUCUAAUACAGGGGGCCCAUGACGGUACCGUAAGAAUAAGCACCGGCUAACUACGUGCCAGCAGCCGCGGUAAUACGUAGGGUGCGAGCGUUAAUCGGAAUUACUGGGCGUAAAGCGUGCGCAGGCGGUUAUGUAAGACAGAUGUGAAAUCCCCGGGCUCAACCUGGGAACUGCAUUUUGUGACUGCAUGGCUAGAGUACGGUAGGGGGGGAUGGAAUUCCGCGUGUGCAGUGAAAUGCGUAAAUUUGCGGAGGAAACACCCAUUGG
rnacentral:rRNA from 1 species